UACGUAGGGGGCUAGCGUUGUCCGGAUUUAUUGGGCGUAAAGAGCGUGUAGGCGGCCAGGUAGGUCUGCUGUGAAAACUCGAGGCUUAACCUCGAGAUGUCGGCGGAAACCAUCUGGCUAGAGUCCGGAAGAGGAGAAUGGAAUUCCUGGUGUAGCGGUGAAAUGCGCAGAUAUCAGGAAGAACACCCGUGGCGAAGGCGGUUCUCUGGGACGGUACUGACGCUGAGACGCGAAAGCGUGGGGAGCGAACAGG
rnacentral:rRNA from 1 species